rnacentral:rRNA from 1 species
AACGAACGCUGGCGGCAGGCUUAACACACGCAAGUCGAACGGGUGUAGCAAUACAUCAGUGGCAGACGGGUGAGUAACACGUGGGAACCUUCCUAGGGGUACGGAACAACUCAGGGAAACUUGAGCUAAUACCGUAUACGUCCGUGAGGAGAAAGAUUUAUCGCCCUUAGACGGGCCCGCGUCGGAUUAGGUAGUUGGUGGGGUAACGGCCUACCAAGCCGACGAUCCGUAGCUGAUCUGAGAGGAUGAUCAGCCACACUGGGACUGAGACACGGCCCAGACUCCUACGGGAGGCAGCAGUGGGGAAUUUUGGACAAUGGGCGCAAGCCUGAUCCAGCCAUGCCGCGUGAGUGAAGAAGGCCUUAGGGUUGUAAAGCUCUUUUACCAGGGACGAUAAUGACGGUACCUGGAGAAUAAGCCCCGGCAAACUUCGUGCCAGCCGCCGCAGUAACAC